UUCUGCUUCUUCCACUUGGUCCUGCGGUUCUGGAACCAAAUUUUGACCUGCGUCUCCGUGAGGCUGAGCGACAGCGCCAGGUUCAGGCGCUCGCACACCGACAGGUAGCGCGUGGCUCGAAACUUGUUCUCUAGGGCCACCAGCUGCUCGGCAGCGAGACGCACCGGCGGGAGGGCAGCUCGCGUGAAUUUUUGCGGAUCCAAGAUGUCCAAGACAGAGAAGGAGAUCUUGUGGUGAGAGGGGGCCGCCUUGGCCCCGACGUCCUGCCAUGCCAACAUGCCCGCCUCCCGCGGGCCCGAGGCCAGCCGCACUGGGGUCGGGGCUAGAUGCGCUCAGCCUUAUCUUCUGCAGUGGUUUGGCCACAGCUCUCCAGCCACGAACUGGAAUU
rnacentral:lncRNA from 1 species